rnacentral:rRNA from 1 species
CCCUCGGGGUCCAACCUCCCACCCGUGUUUAACGAACCUUUGUUGCUUCGGCGGGCCCGCCUCACGGCCGCCGGGGGGCUUCUGCCCCCGGGCCCGCGCCCGCCGAAGACCCCUGUGAACGCUGUCUGAAGUAUGCAGUCUGAGAAACUAGCUAAAUUAGUUAAAACUUUCAACAACGGAUCUCUUGGUUCCGGCAUCGAUGAAGAACGCAGCGAAAUGCGAUAACUAAUGUGAAUUGCAGAAUUCAGUGAAUCAUCGAGUCUUUGAACGCACAUUGCGCCCUCUGGUAUUCCGGAGGGCAUGCCUGUCCGAGCGUCAUUGCUGCCCUCAAGCACGGGUUGGGUGUUGGGCCCCGUCCCCCCCUCUGCCGGGGGGACGGGCCCGAAAGGCAGCGGCGGCACCGCGUCCGGUCCUCGAGCGUAUGGGGCUUCGUCACCCGCUCUUGUAGGCCCGGCCGGCGCCAGCCGACCCCAACCCUAAAUUUUUUCAGGUUGACCUCGGAUCAGGUAGGGAUACCCGC